rnacentral:rRNA from 1 species
CCUACGGGAGGGCAGCAGUGGGGAAUAUUGGACAAUGGGGGGAACCCUGAUCCAGCCAUGCCGCGUGUGUGAAGAAGGCCCUCGGGUUGUAAAGCACUUUCAGUGAGGAAGAACGCCUGGUGGUUAAUACCCAUCAGGAAAGACAUCACUCACAGAAGAAGCACCGGCUAACUCCGUGCCAGCAGCCGCGGUAAUACGGAGGGUGCGAGCGUUAAUCGGAAUUACUGGGCGUAAAGCGCGCGUAGGUGGCUUGAUAAGCCGGUUGUGAAAGCCCCGGGCUCAACCUGGGAACGGCAUCCGGAACUGUCAAGCUAGAGUGCAGGAGAGGAAGGUAGAAUUCCCGGUGUAGCGGUGAAAUGCGUAGAGAUCGGGAGGAAUACCAGUGGCGAAGGCGGCCUUCUGGACUGACACUGACACUGAGGUGCGAAAGCGUGGGUAGCAAACAGGAUUAGAUACCCUAGUAGUC